rnacentral:rRNA from 1 species
UACGUAGGGUGCGAGCGUUAAUCGGAAUUACUGGGCGUAAAGCGUGCGCAGGCGGUUUUGUAAGCCAGAUGUGAAAUCCCCGGGCUUAACCUGGGAAUGGCAUUUGGGACUGCAAGGCUGGAGUUUGGCAGAGGAGACUGGAAUUCCUGGUGUAGCAGUGAAAUGCGUAGAUAUCAGGAGGAACACCAGUGGCGAAGGCGAGUCCCUGGACAAUUUCUGACACUGAGGCACGAAAGCUAGGGGAGCAAACAGG